CUACGGGAGGCUCCAGUGAGGAAUAUUGGUCAAUGGACGCAAGUCUGAACCAGCCAUGCCGCGUGCAGGAUGACAGCCCUAUGGGUUGUAAACUGCUUUUGUACGGGAAAAAACUUUUCGACGUGUCGGAAAUUGAUGGUACCGUAAGAAUAAGCAUCGGCUAACUCCGUGCCAGCAGCCGCGGUAAUACGGAGGAUGCAAGCGUUAUCCGGAUUUAUUGGGGUUAAAGGGUGCGUAGGCGGGUUAGUAAGUCAGUGGUGAAAUCCUACAGCUUAACUGUAGAACUGCCAUUGAUACUGCUAGUCUUGAGUAUAGUUGAAGUGGGCGGAAUAUGUCAUGUAGCGGUGAAAUGCAUAGAUAUGACAUAGAACACCAAUCGCGAAGGCAGCUCACUAAACUAAUACUGACGCUGAGGUACGAAAGCGUGGGGAGCGAACAGGAUUAGAUACCCUUGUAGUC
rnacentral:rRNA from 1 species